rnacentral:rRNA from 1 species
AGUGAACGCUGGCGGUAGGCCUAACACAUGCAAGUCGAACGGCAGCACAGUAAGAGCUUGCUCUUACGGGUGGCGAGUGGCGGACGGGUGAGGAAUACAUCUGAAUCUACUUUUUCGUGGGGGAUAACGUAGGGAAACUUACGCUAAUACCGCAUACGACCUACGGGUGAAAGCAGGGGAUCUUCGGACCUUGCGCGAUUGAAUGAGCCGAUGUCGGAUUAGCUAGUUGGCGGGGUAAAGGCCCACCAAGGCGACGAUCCGUAGCUGGUCUGAGAGGAUGAUCAGCCACACUGGAACUGAGACACGGUCCAGACUCCUACGGGAGGCAGCAGUGGGGAAUAUUGGACAAUGGGCGCAAGCCUGAUCCAGCCAUACCGCGUGGGGGAAGAAGGCCUUCGGGUUGUAAAGCCCUUUUGUUGGGAAAGAAAAGCAGCAGGUUAAUACCCCGCUGUUCUGACGGUACCCAAAGAAUAAGCACCGGCUAACUUCGUG